UACGUAGGGUGCAAGCGUUGUCCGGAAUUAUUGGGCGUAAAGAGCUCGUAGGUGGUUUGUCGCGUUGUCCGUGAAAACUCACAGCUUAACUGUGGGCGUGCGGGCGAUACGGGCAGACUGGAGUACUGCAGGGGAGACUGGAAUUCCUGGUGUAGCGGUGGAAUGCGCAGAUAUCAGGAGGAACACCGGUGGCGAAGGCGGGUCUCUGGGCAGUAACUGACGCUGAGACGCGAAAGCGUGGGGAGCGAACAGG
rnacentral:rRNA from 1 species